rnacentral:rRNA from 1 species
UACGUAGGGUGCAAGCGUUGUCCGGAAUUAUUGGGCGUAAAGAGCUCGUAGGCGGUUUGUCGCGUCUGCUGUGAAAACCCGAGGCUCAACCUCGGGCCUGCAGUGGGUACGGGCAGACUAGAGUGCGGUAGGGGAGAUUGGAAUUCCUGGUGUAGCGGUGGAAUGCGCAGAUAUCAGGAGGAACACCGAUGGCGAAGGCAGAUCUCUGGGCCGUAACUGACGCUGAGGAGCGAAAGUGUGGGGAGCGAACAGG